rnacentral:rRNA from 1 species
CACCCAUGAGACGCAAGUAACCUGACUGGUGGGAUGGCUUGUGCCUGCACCAUCGACCGACCAUGAUCUUCUGUGAAAGGUUUGAGUACGAGCAUACCUGUUGGGACCCGAAAGAUGGUGAACUAUGCCUGAGCAGGGCGAAGCCAGAGGAAACUCUGGUGGAGGCUCGUAGAUGUGCUGACGUGCAAAUCGCUUUUCGGACUUGGGUAUAGGGGCGAAAGACUAAUCGAACCAUCUAGUAGCUGGUUCCCUCCGAAGUUUCCCCCAGGAUAGCUGGAGCUUGAUCAGUUUUAUCAGGUAAAGCGAAUGAUUAGAGGUACCGGGGAUGAAACAUCCUCGACCUAUUCUCAAACUUUAAAUAGGUAAGACGUCUGGGUUGCUUAAUUGAACCCAGGCAUUCAAUGAGAGCUCCAAGUGGGCCAUUUUUGGUAAGCAGAACUGGCGAUGCGGGAUGAACCGAAAGCUGAGUUAAG